AGCAGCCAAGGGGGAAGGAGCCCUCCUGAGGAAGCAAAGGGAAAAGGCCUGACUCCAAAUCAGGUCCAAAUCCAUGAGUCAGUCCAGAACUGUAUGUGGCCCAACAAUCAGCGAACAUCCUCCGUGCCCACCUGAGGCUUCAGAUAUUUCCAGCAUCUUUUGGCUGGUGUCCUACGUGCUGGCCUGAGGCUCAGGGUUUGGAUGCCCCCAAAGUUUUGCCUGCCCUCAGCCAUGGGGCCGCCAGCUGGGGAGGAGCCUCCCAUUUCCACAACAUGGGCUUUAAGCCCCAACACCUCAGCCGGUACCAAAUUGCUCCAGAAGACCUUCCUGGACCCAGAUGCAUGGAGUUUCCCCUGCCAGGUUGAGUUUUCAUCCUUGAAUUGUAGAGGGGCAUUGUGAAACUCAUCAUGAAUCAUAAGGGUCAUUUUGAAGGCUUCAUUGAUACAUAGGAUUGUCUGAGUCCCUGCACAUCUAUGAGACUCAUCUACAGAGCUGGAUUCAGAUUGGUUGGGGCCUUGGUCAAACAGAAAAUUGAAGGCACCUACACCCCAUUAUAAACACGAACGUAUCAAAAAGCAUUAAUAAAUAGACCCAUUAAAUGUUUACAUGGUGCAUUAAUAAAGCACAACAUGCAAUGUCAAAAUUAACUAUUCAGUUUUGCCAUACACAAAACUAAAUAAAUGAUGUCUUAGUUUAGGGGUCAUGUAGACUCCUGUUUGACUAUUUUUAUAAAUACACACCUUACAUUGUACCUACACUAUGGUAAACUACUACAAGAAAAAUACAGGCCAUACCAAUAGCCUCGAGUAUGAGUCUAAGAAUUCUGUUAGUGCUUCUUGCAAUUACAAUAAUGUAAUAGGCCUAUACAAUACAUCUCUUUUUUAAUCAUUCCUGAAACAUUAAA